CUGUCUAAAAACGAAGAGAAGGUUAGCAUUCCCCUUGACAAGGAUGGAAGAGGCCUGUGUAACACUCAUAGAACUUGGGCAUUGCCACCUGCUUUGUGGCAUUAACCAUGGUUUUGA
ensembl:snRNA